rnacentral:rRNA from 1 species
GGGGAAUAUUGGACAAUGGGCGCAAGCCUGAUCCAGCCAUGCCGCGUGGAUGAUGAAGGCCUUAGGGUUGUAAAGUCCUUUUAACGGGGAAGAUAAUGACGGUACCCGUAGAAUAAGCCCCGGCUAACUUCGUGCCAGCAGCCGCGGUAAUACGAAGGGGGCUAGCGUUGCUCGGAAUCACUGGGCGUAAAGCGCACGUAGGCGGCUUUCUAAGUCAGGGGUGAAAUCCUGGAGCUCAACUCCAGAACUGCCUUUGAUACUGGGAAGCUUGAGUUCGGGAGAGGUGAGUGGAACUGCGAGUGUAGAGGUGAAAUUCGUAGAUAUUCGCAAGAACACCAGUGGCGAAGGCGGCUCACUGGCCCGAUACUGACGCUGAGGUGCGAAAGCGUGGGGAGCAAAC